CAAUUCGGAACCCAUACACACCGCCAUGCUGUACACAUCCUGCACCGACCCCAUAGCGACUCCAUCCCGUGCUGGCCGGCCGCUACUACACUAGUUUCCAAUGUUGUGGGCGGGACUUCAGCUGUCACGUCAGGAAAAACGUAACCCUCACCCGACCCUAACCCACAAAUUGUUACUAUUUUAGGACCCAGACCUGACCCGUACCUGCUUCUUCUCGCUCUGUAAUCAACAUCUGGUUCUCUGGUUCUAGACAUGGAAUCUUCUUGAGCAAAGGACGAGUGUACUUCCAUUGUAUGACCCUCACUCAACCCUACUCUGAACUGAACCUACCCAACCAGUGGUCAACCUGCAGGUCACCAGCAGCCUUUCCUCCAUCAUCCCAUGAUAGUCACUUGCACAUUCAGUUAAUGGAGAUAAUAUCUGCCUUACUACAAUAGAUAUGCAAGUGCCUUUAUUCAUUCUUGUAUUUCACAAAUAUGUUAUUAUACAUUAUUUCUAUAGCACUAACAUAUUCGUCUGAGCUUUGCAGAGCCUCAUCAUUCACAUGAGUCCCUGGCCCAGUUAUGUAGGAACAGAAUCCUUCUUGCACACAUUGGCACCUGGCUGUGGGGUACCUGAGAUUAAUGGAUCAGAUGAGAGUGAGUGUAGGACUGGCCAGACCAGGGAUGACUUUGACGUAGUUGGCCAGCUUGAAUAUAUUGCAAUAUAUGAACAAUCAAUCCCUGAUAGGCCAUUGAUUGGGACAAGUUCAGGGGAUCUCUUGAUAUGUCUACAGGAAUAUACAGUAAGCCCACACAGAUAUGAGGUUAAGCCCUGCUGUAUCCUGAGAGAAUGAAGGCCUUUCUUCCCUGAGCCGGGGCAGGAGAAAAGCUCUUCGAAAGAAAGCUCACAUUGAUAGGUUUAUUAAUAAAUUAUUCAAUUAUUCAUAAAUAUUUUAUUAAUAGACUUAUCACACUAGAUUGAACUUUACUCCAGUUAACCAUUUGAUGAGAUCACCCUUAUACAAUACCCCACAAACCUUCAGUGAAACUGAAUUUUGGUUUGACUGAAUGCUUAGGUUUCUUUCAUAGGUACACUGUUAUAAAAUGUAAAAGUGAGGCAAAAGACCCAAGGCAGUAGAAAAGACUAAUGGAGGCAGUGUCAGUUUAAGGAGCAUUUGCCAGAGCUCACCAUCAGAGCUUUUAUCUGCUCUAAUUUUUCAUGAAGCAUCCUCCAGAAAUUGCAGAACUUAUUUUCAUCAGCUAGAAGAACUCUACAGCAUAACUAUUUCAUUACUUUUUUUUUUAUCUGUACAAAUGUCCCUAAGUGAUCUUCUAAUAAAAGACUGGUAUCUUU